rnacentral:rRNA from 1 species
UACGUAGGGCGCAAGCGUUGUCCGGAAUUAUUGGGCGUAAAGAGCUCGUAGGCGGUUUGUCGCGUCGGAUGUGAAAGCUCUGGGCUCAACCCAGGAAUUGCAUUUCAUACUGCUCGGCUCGAGAUUGGUAGAGGAUGGCGGAAUUCCAGGUGUAGCGGUGAAAUGCGUAGAUAUCUGGAGGAACACCUGUGGCGAAGGCGGCUAUCUGGUCCAAUUCUGACGCUGAGGCGCGAAAGGUAGGGGAGCAAACAGG